rnacentral:rRNA from 1 species
AUGGCAACUGGUAGUGAAGCCACGAAGGCAGCUGAGGCUGAGCUUGAGUGGCAUAAACAGGACAGCAAGAGGAUGCUCCACGCGGUUUGCCGUGUCGGGGAUCUGGACCGCAUAAUCAAGUAAUACACAGAAUGCUUUGGGAUGAAACUGCUGAGGAAAAGAGAUGUUCCUGAUGAGAAGUACACCAACGCCUUCCUUGGCUUUGGAGACACCAACUUCGCACAUGAAUUGACAUAUAACUAUGGUGUUGACAAGUAUGACACUGGAGAGCGCUUUGGGCAUUUCGGAAUCGCUAAUGAGGAUGUGUACAAGUUGGCUGUGCAUGUUAAAUCCAAGGGUGGCAAUAUCACUCGUGUACCUGGUCAUGUCAAGGGAGGAUAUAUUCACUAUUAUUGCCUUUGCACAGGACCUGAUGGCUACAGGUUUGCCCGUAUCCAGAGGGCUGAGAUACAUGAACCUCUUUGUCAAGUCAUGCUUCGUGUUGGUGAUCUUGAGCGUUCUAUCAAGUUCUAUGAGAAAGUAUUUUUUGCUUUUCUAAGGCUGGGCUAUUCCAAAAGUUGGAGAUGCUAA